rnacentral:rRNA from 1 species
UACGGAGGGUGCGAGCGUUGUCCGGAAUCACUGGGCGUAAAGGCGCGUAGGUGGCACGGGUAGUCGUCGGUGAAAGCUCAGGGCUCAACCCUGAGUCGGCCGGUGAUACUCCCGAGCUCGAGUGUGGUAGAGGCCAAUGGAAUUCCGGGUGUAGCGGUGGAAUGCGUAGAGAUCCGGAAGAACACCGGUGGCGAAGGCGGUUGGCUGGGCCACAACUGACACUGAUGCGCGACAGCGUGGGGAGCAAACCAGG